UACGAAGGGGGCUAGCGUUGUUCGGAUUUACUGGGCGUAAAGCGCACGUAGGCGGAUCGUUAAGUCGGGGGUGAAAUCCUGGGCUCAACUCCAGAACUGCCUUUGAUACUGGCGAUCUCGAGUCCGGGAGAGGUGAGUGGAACUGCGAGUGUAGAGGUGAAAUUCGUAGAUAUUCGCAAGAACACCAGUGGCGAAGGCGGCUCACUGGCCCGGUACUGACGCUGAGG
rnacentral:rRNA from 1 species